ACCUGCCCGCAGCAGCGCCCUGCGCACACCGGGCCCCUUCGGCAGCGGAGCGCGUCCCGGUGCUGCCCCCCGCUCGGCUCUCAGUGACCCUCUGGAGCACCGCUGACACGAGUCACGGCUGUGCUCGUCCUGCCUGAGCCGGACUGGCUGAAGAAUUCAAAAUCUCCCCAGGCGUAAAUUUCUUCCCAUCACGUUGUGCUUUUACUUGGUCCCACACACCUACACCACUUCUCCAUUUUUUCCUUUUGCAUUUUUUGUUCACUUGAUUUUUUCCCCUAACACCUGUGUUGGUAGGGAGUUGCAAUUUGGGUUUGUGUUUUUUAUUCUUUUUUUAUUCUCAUUAAUUCACAAAUAAUGACAGGGGAAGUUUCAAAAACCCCCCAGUUCCCAUCUUGCAAGGAGCUUGAAGAACAGCAGGAAAAUGGUUGUGUGGAAAUGAAGAGAGGUAGGUAGACGUGUUCUGUAUUUUGUUGUAUUUGCUGCCAGUGUCUCAGGAAGAAUGGGCUUAUGGGAGAGUCUGGAGAGCUGAGCUUUUGUGGAUUGACCAUGGGAGCUCUUGUCAUGGUGGUAAAAUAUGCAAUGGAAAGGUACAUGGUUAGGGAAUGCUGAUGGAGUGUUCAAUUGGUAGGGACAACACGAUGCUCAACAGAACAGUGCAGACCAGGGGAAUGCAGUCAGGUUGAACUUCAAAGUAUGACAGAAAUUCAGAUGUGUGGGAACAGCAGGUGAAGAACAAUUGGAAGGCUGCCAAGGAGCAAUUGAUGCACUCACGUUUGUGAGAGGUGUUUGGUCGCCUGCAGCUUCCUUGCGAAGAGCAUUACAUGGUUGGGAUGCAGAGAAGAAAGCUUUGCAGUAGCUGUGGUGAUAUAUUCUGAAGAGGUCUAACCAGCAUAUUUGUCUGUGAAAAUGGUAACAGACUACUCUUUAAGCUGGUGGGGUAGAAGGAAAGCCUGGGACCUGGUGCUAUUUGUGUUUAUCUCUUGGGAAAAGGGAGGGAAGACAGUAGGAAUGGGACUAUGUUACUCAUAUCAGCUAUGAAUGAGAAAUGGGAAAGUGAGGCUAAAUCAAGGCAACUCUGCACUUCAGCUAGCACAAACUGAUGGAAAAAUCUCCAGGAAGAGAUGCCAGACAGCAGCUUCAGCACUGGGACUGAACAGAGGCAGAAAGGUUGAUGACAGAGGGAGAAUCUGAGAAUCACAAGUACAGAAACACUAUCUAAAAUCCUUGAGAAUUGCCAACCAGAGGACACAAAGGGAAAACAGGGCUGUGAACCCAAGCCUGGCAUUAAGAAAGGAAAAGAGGAUGUUGACUCACUGACAAAAAUAAUACAUGCAAAAAAUCUUUUCAAUCAUAGUAAAUGCCUGUUUUUGCUAAUAAUAAAUCUGGGGACCAAUGGGAGAGAACUGUAGGGUAGGUUCUGAGAGUUAACAGAGGCUGUGGAGGGUAGGUGACCCAGGAAAGAUGUGACUCCCAGGCUUGUGGGUCCUUCUGGUCACAUCCACAACUGUAAAGACUCUUUCCCAGCUCAUUAGCUCCCACCUUCCAUGUUAUCUUACCUUCAGUGAGUGAUUCCUCUUUAGGAAUUUUGGUGUUGGCUUCCCUUGCUUGGGUUUCCCUUCUUGUCUGGGGAACUGAAGGAGGGUGGUGCAGGACCUUAGAAGUCAUCAGGGAGUACAUGUUAAAAGCUAGAAAGCUUGUUUAAAAAGAUUUUUCAUGGACUCAGGUGGGGAGGCCAUGCUUAAGUGACCUGUGAGGUUUCUUUGAAGUUACUAGACCUGUAAUUGAUGAAGAAGCAUUGGUAGAAACAGAAGAGUUGGAUGCUUCAAAGGACAUGAAAGAGGGCCCCAAAUCAGAGAGUGAUGAGCAAGCGGGAGCUUGUGAGCUCUGGAGCAAGAUAGCUGCUGAAAUAGAGGACCUUUUAGAAAUAUAAAUUGGAAUGUAAGUUUAGACACUAUUUUCAUGCGGAAAAUGAAAGAUAGCAUCAAGUUUGAAGUUUAUAUUGAAGUGUGAGAGGGAAAAUGUUCAAAAAUAAUAUCUUUAUUUAACAGGGAUUAUGACACAAAGAGUUUGCUUUGCAUGGUAGAUUAUAGCACGAUUUGCAUUUGUUUAAUUAGCCAUAGUUGGUAACACCAUAUAGAUGGCUGUUGGUUUGCAUGGAAUGGAAGUUUUAAGACAGUCUAGCAGCUGCUAUGUCUGAGUAAAGUUUUGCUUUAAACUUGCCAUAUAGCAAUAUAAAAUUCUAGCUUAAUUGUAAAAAAUGAUUUUCCAUAUUAGAAAUAUUUGGAUUAUUAUAAACCAAAUAAUCUAAUUUUCCAAGUUCCAAUUUGCAGGCAAACACUACGUAUGGAAUUAUGAUUAAUCCCAAACUUGACAGUGUCACUUUUGUCCCCCUAGUCCCAUGAAAAAUAACAAUAUUAUAACUGGAUUUUAUUCUAGUUCGUGUUUGACAUCUUUAAAUCUUUAAACAUCUGGUUUAUAUUUGAUAUCUUUUAGGAGGACUUAAUGUGAAGGUGGAUGUGUAAGUCCACAGGUUAUCUAGUUUUUCUGGAAUACUACUUGUUUUAAGUUAACUUAUUAAUUGAUCUCUUAAAAGUUUUACAUGUUAAAAAGAACGAAACCAGCGCUAAUAAUGCUGGGAGACCUCUGUAGGGAGCCCAGAGUUGGUAGGUUAUCCCAACAGUUCACAGUCUGUUUGGAAAAGAAUUAUGGUAUAGCAGCAGGAGGUGUUAUUAUCAGAAAAUUUUUAAAUGCACUAAAAACUAUUCACCUUGGAAAUACAUUUUUCCCCCCUAAACUGUUUCUAAUAAUUGGUGAGAGAUUUUGAUGGUAUCUAUGUUGAGGUGGAGCUGACCAAAAUCUGGCAUAAGUGAGGAAAAUAAGCUGUGGAGUUUAGAAGGGUCUCUGAAGGUCUCUCUUGUGGCACACUCAGGAGAGUAUAUGUGCACUUUGAACAGUCCUUUUGGUCUAUCUAUAAUUUUUGUCAGUACUUCUAACUCAAAAGUUUUAAUAGAGUGGAAGAAUAACUUCAAACCAUAGAUAUAUUUUAUUUUCAAAACUACUGUGGAGCUGAGUUAGAGAGUGAGUCUGUUUACUAAUUUUGUCCCUGGUGUUAGAUCACCUCACUGUUCUGAUGACACAGGAUGAGUAAGUCCUUCUUUCCCCCCGUAUCUCGUGUACUGGGAUCACCUUUGUUGCCCUAUACUUCAGCAUCCUCAGGGUAAUCAUAUACAAGAAAAGGUAGGUUGUCUUUCAGGAAGAAGUCUAAAUUCUGUCUACAAAGUAAAAAAAAAAAAAACCAAGCUAGUGGGUUCAUAUGCUAUUCUUUUGUUGAUCCCCCUGCUCUCUACUUCUUUAGCUGAGAACUGCAGUGAUUUCUAACUCCAAAGGAGCUUUCUUAUCAAUGUGGGAGAUGACUGAGCAUAUAUUCCCUAAUACUCCUAAACUUAGUAACCCAUUAAUUUGAAGUGCAAUUUUAACCUUUUUCUAGAAUUUUAUUUCAUCAUUUUCAUUAUUGUAUGAAGAUAUUUUGCUUACUGAAGAUGCUGGAUUGACAGAUCUGAAUCCCAGUACUGCACAGGCACAGAAAUGCACAUCAGGAAACUCUACUGUGUGCUUUGGUGCUUUACUAGUGUAUCAAGGGUACUUGAUUCUGCACUCCUCUGUAGCCUCUUCCUUCACUGGGGUUUCUAGUGAGGACACCAACAAUGCUGACAGCUGAAGAAGCUCCCACUCCUGAAAUGUAAGCCUAGCUCUGACUUCCUCAGUCAGCUUAUCUUCAAAGAAAAAGAAUGACCCAUUGUAACAAUAUGAAGAGGAAAUGAGAUGUUGAGAGAACCUGUGGCUUUGUGCACAACUAUGAAUAUAACUGCAGAGUACAUUCAAAAUGUUUUAAAGCUUGGGGAGGCUCAGAGAAUUAUUUGUAAGAGUUAUAACCUCAAAAGAAAAGGCAGCCAGGGUUGGAAGACCAGUUUUGUGAUGCUUGAAUGCUAUAAUUCAGCCUGUGCUCUCUUGUAUUGAAUUCAUGACAACUCAACAGUAUUGCAGAGCAGUUCUUUAUCUAAGUUUUAGAUUACAUCAUGCAGUGAAUUGCUCUAUCUGUUAGCAUUGACCCUUGUAAAUCAUUUGGUUUGAGGUCUUCAAAUGGAAAGCUGUGAUGCACUUCAGGAUGCAAUGUACUCAUUUUGUCCUUGAAAAUCAUUUAAAAAUAAAGCAGCUGCAAUUGCAUAGAUGUUAUUACUUUUCUGAAAGGCUAGACUUACCCCUCUGAAUUGUCAUUAAUUGGAUGAAAGCCUUUCAUAGAAAGAAUGAGAAUGGAGAAGAAAAUUGUGGGUUGGUGCUUGAUGUUGACUGAGGGAGUCCUAGAGAUGCUGCAUGUCUGCAGAGAUGUGUAGUCCAAAGCCUGAUGCAAAGAAGGCAUGAUGCUUUUAAUGAGAGUAACCACGGCAGCAGAAGUUAUGGAGAAAUGCUUGUUCCUGUACUUUUAUAGCUGGAUUUUUUGUUCUUCAUUGCUUGUACUUAAUUACUUUUUCUUGAAUAUGUGCUUUGUUCCCAUCCACGUUUUUCAACUGUUACAUGGCUUUGCUUUGAGCUGAGAAGCAUUUGCUGUGGUCUGCCUGGUGAGAUGCACUUGUUCAUCCAUUUCUAUUGGGCUGACAUUUCUGAGUGAAGGUUCUUUUUGAUUUGCUAAUUCUAUUGGGAUGGAAAAAUGGAAAUUAUUUUUCUGGAAAAAAAUGGAAAUAAUAUUGUGACAUGUUAGAGAUCAUCUUUGAUCUUUACCCACUCCAUUAACUAAGAGAAACUCCCAACUGAAUCCAUUUGGUUUUGUUGAAAAUUUAUGGGAGAUGGAACUGAGCAGACACAAUUAUGGAGAUGGUGCCCACAAAUAAGGUGAGGUGGUGGAGUGGUGUUGUGCUGCUUGCUGAAGGACUAGGGAGAUUUCCAAGCUGUCUUACCUGUAGGGAAAGAGAAGAUUGCAGCUUUCUGGCAGAAAGGGCAAUAAACACGGCAAAAAAGCAUGUCUUACCCCCAACUUCUUAAAUCUGGCAUGUAACUGGCCUGGGUGAGGCACUGUGCUUCUCUUGGACUGUGUCCUUGAGUCAAGGCUGUAGUAAAAGUGUCAGGAUUUGUCUUUGAUGAGACAUUCCCCAAAAUAGAAAUAAUUGUUCCUCAAGAAAUCAUGGGGGUAAAUCACAGCAAAAUCUACUUUCAGCAUCUGAAAUUAAGCAUACAGCUAAUGUAGCUUUGUUACAAUGCAGAUCUAUGGAAGGAUAUAGAUUUGUCCCUUGUCUUCUUUGUGCUGAUCUAGGUGUGAUCCAGCAAAAAACCAGCUGGUGAUGAGGAAAAUUGAGCUUACACAAUUGGAAGUUUCCUGUCAGCACAUAACAAAAAAAACCCCUUAUCUAAACUCGUUACUACGAGCUGAACUCAGUCAUCCUGAGGGCUCUGAAUCUGCAUUGCCAAAAGAGCUCACACAGGCUGGAACCCUUUAACUCCUACAUGUCCUAUAGCUAGGGUUUAAGAAAGGGCCAGAGACUGGGCUUUAUUUUAUUGGUUGAUUUAUUUUGGUCAGUUCUAGAAGGUCCUUGAGUUUUUCAGACUGGCCCAGUCAGCCUUUUCUGAAAACAAAACUCUACUAAUGCUGUCAUUAUGUUUUUAAGAUCUCAGCCAAUUUGCAGGUGCAUGAACAUAGCAACAGACACAAACACAUAGAUACAGACAUAUGUAUUUCACAACUACUAUAUACAGAAUACAGAACAGGAGGUGCUAGUCUUUUCUUGAAAAAGGCAUGCAGCUCUCAGUGCUGCAAGUGUAUAAUUUUCAUUUAACCACCAAAAAAAGAAGAAAAAAAUAGGGUCUGUUUCUGACCAAGGAGUAGGGAAUAUGCUCCAUUUUAUGAAAUGUAUGUACUUGCCCGUCAGCUGACUAUUUCUCUAAUACAAGAAAUUAAUUAGAACAUUUUUUAUCCUUUUUUUUUACUGAAAUGAGAACUUUGUUUUUGUUUAAUGAUUCACUUUUCACAGCUGUUAUUACUUCUUCAACCUACUCUGAGUUCACAAUAGUAACUGAAAUGUCCUCAAGGAAACAGAUGGGAAAAUGGCCUGUAAGUCUUUAUUGUUAUAAACGAUUUGUAAAACUUUAGAUGUUGAAAGGUAAGAGUAGUUUAAAUAAAUCUCAACAAUGCUGACUCAAAGGUUUAAAGCAUUGCUUAAAUCCCUUGAUUAACCCAACUUCUCAAUAUUUGACAUGAAUCAAUAACUCUGAGAUGUCUUUUCUGUUCUCUAGCUUUGUAAAUAUUUACACAGCCAGUCCCAUGAAAUAUGACAUUUAAUCCUGCUGAAGUAAUUAUUUGAAUGCUGCAUAUGAAGAGAUAUAAAGUAUAAUAGUUCCAGUGAUGCUAGUUAAAUAAUUGGCACUAAGGAUGAAAUCUGCUGCAUUUUUUUUUGUCAAGAGCCAGGAUUUAUGCAACUAAAUGUGAAUAAAUGGAAAGCAAAAUCCACUUUCUGUCCCAAAUCUUGGACCAGCUGCUGGGAAUGCAGGUUUCUUUAUCCCUUCUCAUGCCUGGGCCUAUACCUUAGCAUUGACAGCAGCCUUUUGUUCCAGCUAAAUUAAGUGUUGAGAGACAGAAGAAAGGCAAUAGGGGAGGGAUGGCACCUCUGUUAGCUUGUUCUCUGCCUUUUCCUUCUGGGACACACUAUAAAGACUGAUCUCUGCACUCCAGGAAGCAGGAACAUGCUCUACCCAGAGUUUCCAGGACCUGGGAAGGCUUCUGUAGGAGUUCUGGUGCAAUAGGACUAUACCAGCUCUGCAGACUGUGCCUGGAAUUCCUGGGACCGAGCAGAGUGGUUCAAGAAGGAGCAGAUGGGAACAGCUGCCAACAGAUGAGUACUGGAAGGGAUUCAAGCCACACUACUUGCUGGAACUUGAGAGUUUGUGAUGGCCUGAGCUUUCCCAACCACAUGUAUCUAAGAUUUGGAAUCAGGCAGCUGUCAGUCAGUUCUUAUUUAUGAGGACCAGAAAAUAAAACAACCCACUGUUUUCCUAUGGUGUGGUUGCAGAUAGCACUAAAGUGUAUGGGCCUCCAGGUGGUGUCUGAAGACUGAUUUUUUUCUGUUUCUGCACCAACAAACCUUACAUUAUGGAAAGAUGAUCAAACAGAACAUGGAGUUCACCAAGCAACAAUUUCAGGAAGAAAUGCAGUUUAAAUUUUUCCCAGCAGAUGUGGCUGUUGGACCAGAAAAGGCUCAAGGGAAGUCAAGGGGAGACCUUUACCAAAUUGGACUUUGAUGAAGACACUGAGUGGUCAGUCCUGCCUCAGAACCUCCUCUGAUCGAUCCAUGGGAGCCUGGGCUGCUCCACAGAAUGGUCCUGUGCCUUGACACUGAUUUAUCAUCCACCAUGACCACAAGCUCAUGGAUGAGGAAGGAAUACCCAUGGCUGCUACCAUCCCUGCCCCUCUGGCUUCAGAUAAAUCACCAAGUUUGAGCAUGACUGCCCCAGGAAGGAGAAGCAACUGCAUUGCUCUGCCCAACUCGUGGCAGCUUGUUCCUCUCCUCUCCACAGGACAUUGAUCUUCAAGGGCAUACACGAUUAAAGGAGGGGAGACAUUCCCUGGAAUUAGCUGUUCCCUCUUUCUUUUUCCUUCUUAAGAGAGAUCCUGCCAUGUGGGGACCCCACCUCCCUUCGUGGGUGCUCAAGGCAUGAGGAAGGACUUUGUCUUCUGCCUGGGGAGGUACCGAAGGC